UGCUUGCGCAUGUUACUAGGACCAAGAAGCAACAAGAGUGUUGCACACACAUCUUGCAAUACUUCUUGACAAACAGAUCAACAUCCCACAACCAUGUACCAAACGGCAGCACGAAACAGCUUCAAAGGAAAUGAUCUCUCGACUGAGGUUGGCAUUGCAAGAAGAAGCUAGUGGUAAACCUGUUCUGCACCAGCAUCGCUUCUAUGUCUGUAUGUCUGACAGGGAAAGCCACUCUAAUCAUGACAUUGAUGCUCGCUGGGCAGGCUACGCACAGCCGAUAAAUUCAGAAGUGUCCAAAAAAAUUUGUGAGCUUGUACAACAAGGUGUGACAUC